rnacentral:rRNA from 1 species
ACUGCUCAGUAACACGUGGAUAACCUGCCUUUGGGUCCGGCAUAACCCCGGGAAACUGGGGAUAAUUCCGGAUAACGCACAUAUGCUGGAAUGCUUUAUGCGUAAAAUGGAUUCGUCUGCCCAAGGAUGGGUCUGCGGCCUAUCAGGUAGUAGUGGGUGUAAUGUACCUACUAGCCUACAACGGGUACGGGUUGUGAGAGCAAGAGCCCGGAGAUGGAUUCUGAGACAUGAAUCCAGGCCCUACGGGGCGCAGCAGGCGCGAAAACUUUACAAUGCGGGAAACCGUGAUAAGGGGACACCGAGUGCCAGCAUCAUAUGCUGGCUGUCCAGGUGUGUAAAAUACACCUGUUAGCAAGGGCCGGGCAAGACCGGUGCCAGCCGCCGCGGUAACACCGGCGGCCCGAGUGGUGAUCGUGAUUAUUGGGUCUAAAGGGUCCGUAGCCGGUUUGGUCAGUCCUCCGGGAAAUCUGAUAGCUCAACUAUUAGGCUUUCGGGGGAUACUGCCAGGCUUGGAACCGGGAGAGGUAAGAGGUACUACAGGGGUAGGAGUGAAAUCUUGUAAUCCCUGUGGGACCACCUGUGGCGAAGGCGUCUUACCAGAACGGGUUCGACGGUGAGGGACGAAAGCUGGGGGCACGAACCGGAUUAGAUACCCGGGUAGUCCCAGCCGUAAACGAUGCUCGCUAGGUGUCAGGCAUGGCGCGACCGUGUCUGGUGCCGCAGGGAAGCCGUGAAGCGAGCCACCUGGGAAGUACGGCCGCAAGGCUGAAACUUAAAGGAAUUGGCGGGGGAGCAC